UACGGAGGGUGCAAGCGUUAUCCGGAUUCACUGGGUUUAAAGGGUGCGUAGGUGGGUAAGUAAGUCAGUGGUGAAAUCUCCGGGCUUAACCCGGAAACUGCCAUUGAUACUAUUUGUCUUGAAUACUGUGGAGGUCAGCGGAAUAUGUCAUGUAGCGGUGAAAUGCUUAGAUAUGACAUAGAACACCAAUUGCGAAGGCAGCUGGCUACACAAAUAUUGACACUGAGGCACGAAAGCGUGGGGAUCAAACAGG
rnacentral:rRNA from 1 species